rnacentral:lncRNA from 1 species
AGAUAUCAAUAAACAAGCUGUGCUUCAUUUCAACGUGUUGUGUUAAAUACACCAAGGCCUUCUUCACUAAGUUCUUUGAAUUUUUCCUUUUGUUGAAGCUUGUAUGUUGAAGCUUUAUGAGUGAAGCAUGUAGGUUGAGGUAGUGCUCCCUUAAUUUCCCGAGGAAAACUUCUCGUUUGGAGACUUGAAAAAUCCAAGUCAUUGAGUGGUCGUGAGACUUCCGAGUAUCAAGGUGCAGUAGCAUAUGGUAGGAGUCCCCCAAGUCUCCGGUCAAGGGAGUUGACGAAUGAGGCAUUUCCUUUCUAAGUGGUAGCCCAAAACUCCUUCUUCAUAUAUAUUUGUUAUGAAAGUUGUUAGGCCCAAAGAAGAAGAGGCCUAGGCAAUUUUUUUUUUUCGAAUUUUUUUUUUAUUUAUUUUUUUCGAAUUUUUCGAAUUUUUUAAUUUUCGAAUUUCCGAAAAAAAAAAUAUAUAUAUAUAUAUUUUAAAGCUUUGUAGGUGAAACUUUGGUGUUGAAGCUUUGUAGGUGAAGCUUUGAGGUUAAAGCUUUGUUGGGCACCAUGAAUUGAUUUUGCUUCACACUAUCUUGAUCAAGAUAGUGUGAAGCUUUUGUAGGUGAAGCUUUUGUGUUGAAGCUUUGUAGGUGAAGCUUUUGUGGGUGAAGCUUUUGUAGGUGAAGCUUUUCUGUUGAAACUUUGUAGGUGAAGCUUUUGUGGGGAAGCUUUUGUGGGUGAAGCUUUUAUGGGUGAAGCUUUUGUGGGUGAAGCUUUUGU